rnacentral:tRNA from 1 species
UGUGGCAGAUUAGUGCAAUGAAUUUAAGCUUCAUACAUAAAGUUGUCACUUUUAUUAGAAG